rnacentral:rRNA from 5 species
GGCAAUGGAUAUCUCGGCUCUUGCAUCGAUGAAGAGCGCAGCGAAAUGCGAUACGUGGUGCGAAUUGCAGAAUCCCGCGAAC